rnacentral:rRNA from 1 species
UAGGGAAUCUUCCACAAUGGACGCAAGUCUGAUGGAGCAACGCCGCGUGAGUGAAGAAGGUUUUCGGACCGUAAAGCUCUGUUGUUGGUGAAGAAGGAUAGAGGUAGUAACUGGCCUUUAUUUGACGGUAAUCAACCAGAAAGUCACGGCUAACUACGUGCCAGCAGCCGCGGUAAUACGUAGGUGGCAAGCGUUGUCCGGAUUUAUUGGGCGUAAAGCGAGCGCAGGCGGAAGAAUAAGUCUGAUGUGAAAGCCCCCGGCUUAACCGAGGAAUUGCAUCGGAAACUGUUUUCUUGAGUGCAGAAGAGGAGAGUAGAACUCCAUGUGUAGCGGUGGAAUGCGUAGAUAUAUGGAAGAAUACCAGUGGCGAAGGCGGCUCUCUGGUCUGCAACUGACGCUGAGGCUCGAAAGCAUGGGUAGCGAACAGGAUUAGAUACCCUGGUAGUCCAUGCCGUAAACGAUGAGUGCUAAGUGUUGGGAGGCUUCCGCCUCUCAGUGCUGCAGCUAACGCAUUAAGCACUCCGCCUGGGGGAGUACGACCGCAAGGUUGAAAC